CUCUUCUUCCUCUUCGUUUCGGCAUUAGUUUGUGCGAAGAAAACCGGGGAUGUGACGGAGUUGCAAAUUGGCGUGAAGCAUAAACCAGCAACAUGUGAAGUUCAGGCACACAAAGGAGAUAAAGUCAAAGUACACUAUCGGG